UAGCAUCAUUUCACAAAUUCAAGUACCAUCUUCGGAGACAGAUUGUGCUGGCUUCGUGGAAUGACAUGCUCCUCUUGAUCCUCUACUAGACUUUUAACACCACCAAAACCCCAGAAAAAUGACGCGAUGUGGCUGCAGGCCUCCCUAUCGCAGAAGACGUAAAAGAGGGGGGUUGGCAGGUCAGAGAGGAGGAAGAAGGGCAAAGAAAGGGAGACGAGUGUCGGUAGCGCACACAGUGUACUACUACAGGAAAGUCAGAUAGAGCUCCGAAGCCCUUCCUUUCUACCAUGCAGCAUUUCCAGAAAUGUGAGGCAACACCACCAAGAUUUCUGCCUCAUGAAUGAACCACAGUUCCAGCAAAGCCAGACCGGCUGAUGUUCUGAGAUGCUGAUGCCCUCCAAAGAGGAGCAAUGUGUCAUUAAACCUGAAGCUGCAACGUC